UACGGAGGGGGCAAGCGUUAUUCGGAAUCAUUGGGCGUAAAGGGCGCGUAGGCGGCUUGGCAAGUCAAAGGUGAAAUCCCUCGGCCUAACCGAGGAACUGCCUUUGAAACUGCUUGGCUUGAGGCCGGGAGAGGGUAGCGGAAUUCCCAGUGUAGCGGUGAAAUGCGUAGAUAUCUGGAGGAACACCGGUGGCGAAGGCGGCAUCCUGGACCGGUAUUGACGCUGAGGCGCGAAAGCCAGGGGAGCAAACGGG
rnacentral:rRNA from 1 species